rnacentral:rRNA from 1 species
GACGAACGCUGGCGGCGUGCUUAACACAUGCAAGUCGAACGGAAAGGCCCUGCUUUUGUGGGGUGCUCGAGUGGCGAACGGGUGAGUAACACGUGAGUAACCUGCCCUUGACUUUGGGAUAACUUCAGGAAACUGGGGCUAAUACCGGAUAGGAGCUCCUGCUGCAUGGUGGGGGUUGGAAAGUUUCGGCGGUUGGGGAUGGACUCGCGGCUUAUCAGCUUGUUGGUGGGGUAGUGGCUUACCAAGGCUUUGACGGGUAGCCGGCCUGAGAGGGUGACCGGCCACAUUGGGACUGAGAUACGGCCCAGACUCCUACGGGAGGCUGCGGUGGGGAAUAUGGCACAAUGGGCGGAAGCCUGAUGCAGCAACGCCGCGUGCGGGAUGACGGCCUGCGGGUUGUAAACCGCUUUCGCCUGUGACGAAGCGUGAGUGACGGUAAUGGGUAAAGAAGCACCGGCUAACUACGUG